rnacentral:rRNA from 1 species
GACGAACGCUGGCGGCGUGCUUAACACAUGCAAGUCGAACGGAAAGGCCCUGCUUUUGUGGGGUGCUCGAGUGGCGAACGGGUGAGUAACACGUGAGUAACCUGCCCUUGACUUUGGGAUAACUUCAGGAAACUGGGGCUAAUACCGGAUAGGAGCUCCUGCUGCAUGGUGGGGGUUGGAAAGUUUCGGCGGUUGGGGAUGGACUCGCGGCUUAUCAGCUUGUUGGUGGGGUAGUGGCUUACCAAGGCUUUGACGGGUAGCCGGCCUGAGAGGGUGACCGGCCACAUGGGGACUGGGAUACGGCCCAGACUCCUACGGGAGGCAGCAGUGGGGAAUAUUGCACAAUGGGCGGAAGCCUGAUGCAGCAACGCCGCGUGCGGGAUGACGGCCUUCGGGUUGUAAACCGCUUUCGCCUGUGACGAAGCGUGAGUGACGGUAAUGGGGAAAGAAGCACCGGCUAACUACGU